GAGUUUGAUCAUGGCUCAGGACGAACGCUGGCGGCGUGCCUAAUACAUGCAAGUCGAGCGAGGGUUUUUAAGACCCUAGCGGCGGACGGGUGAGUAACACGUAGGCAACCUGCCUCUCAGACCGGGAUAACAUAGGGAAACUUAUGCUAAUACCGGAUAGGUUUUGGAUUGCAUGAUCCGAAAAGAAAAGAUGGCUUUUCGCUAUCACUGGGAGAUGGGCCUGCGGCGCAUUAGCUAGUUGGUGGGGUAACGGCCUACCAAGGCGACGAUGCGUAGCCGACCUGAGAGGGUGACCGGCCACACUGGGACUGAGACACGGCCAGACUCCUACGGGAGGCAGCAGUAGGGAAUUUCCACAAUGGACGAAAGUCUGAUGGAGCAACGCCGCGUGAACGAUG
rnacentral:rRNA from 1 species